rnacentral:rRNA from 1 species
UACAGAGGCCUCAAGCGUUGUUCGGAAUUACUGGGCGUAAAGAGAAUGUAGGUGGUGAUGCAAGUCAGAUGUGAAAGCCCUGGGCUUAACCUGGGAACUGCAUUUGAUACUGCGUUGCUCGAGUGUAGGAGAGGUGAGAGGAAUUCCUGGUGUAGGGGUGAAAUCCGUAGAUAUCAGGAGGAAUACCGAUGGCGAAGGCAUCUCGCUGGCCUAUAACUGACACUGAGAUUCGAAAGCAUGGGUAGCAAACAGG